AUUGAACGCUGGCGGCAUGCUUUACACAUGCAAGUCGAACGGUAACAGGGUGCUUGCACCGCUGACAAGUGGCGAACGGGUGAGUAAUGCGUCGGAACGCACCGAGUAAUGGGGGAUAACGCAGCGAAAGCUGUGCUAAUACCGCAUACGCUCUGAGGAGGAAAGCGGGGGACCUUCGGGCCUCGCGUUAUUCGAGCGGCCGACGUCUGAUUAGCUAGUAGGUGAGGUAAGAGCUCACCUAGGCGACGAUCAGGAGCGGGGCUGAGAGGAUGAUCCGCCACACUGGGACUGAGACACGGCCCAGACUCCUACGGGAGGCAGCAGUGGGGAAUUUUGGGCAAUGGGCGCAAGCCUGAUCCAGCCAUGCCGCGUGUCUGAAGAAGGCCUUCGGGUUGUAAAGGACUUUUGUCAGGGAGGAAAUCCUUAGCGCUAAUACCGUUGAGGGAUGACAGUACCUGAAGAAUAAGCACCGGCUAACUACGUGCCAGCCGCCGCCGUAAAAC
rnacentral:rRNA from 1 species